UAACAGCACUGUGGUUGCGAGGAGUAGCUACGAAAACACGGCGCAGCUAGAUUUCACAAGGGUCCCCUUUCAAGUACACGGAGACAACAAAAGGCCCAAACAAGGGUUCGAUACAAGCGAACCAUUCAGGGCAGUUGUGUGAAGCUUCUCUGCCGGCCAAAAGAAUACGGAGGGAAGUUGUGUCCAGAAUUAACAUUUAUACUGAGUGGAGGAGUGUGUGGGUUUUUCUUUCCCCGUGGAGGUACAUGAUAAGAAAAUGUAAGCAACAAAGUCCCUUUCAAAGUUGAUCUUUUGAAAUUUACUCCACCGCAGCUUCAGGCUUCCGUCUGAGUUUCGGUCUGGGUCAAACAUCACAGAAGAGGGGGACCAUGCUUAUAAUAUGAAACUGAAGGUCAAACGGCUGACCUUGAGAGCGAAAAAGUAUACUUUGCUUUUUUUAAUUUUUCUGCAGAAAAACCCUGUAAGCCUGGCAGGAUUUAACUAGCUGGUUUAUUUCAACGCCAGAACGAGCUCCUCCAAACUUCAUCCCGAAUAAAGAGAGCAUCACAGCACCUUUGGCUCAGCGAUAUUGGUGACGUCACAUAUUCAAAAUGUCACAAAAUUCACCUCGUCCUCUCCCUCUACCUUCCACGUGUACAAGUCAUUCCCUCCGUCGAAGAUGCCAGACCACGCUCACUCCACCUGCUGAUACUUUUUGAGAAACGUGCAAAUGCCACCCGUGCAAGGAGACUUUCUUCAUCCGGUUCCCUCCAAGCAAAUGGGAUCUCCUUCUCCUCCAAGCUUGGAAAGCACAGAGCCCCUGCUGUGUGGCUCCUGCAUGGGUCCUGUACAGUGUCCCUUGCUUUGUGCACUGUAAGCGCUGGGCUUGUGACGGACCACACUGUACUCUCCCUGAGAGUACACCGGCACUGUGCCUUGCGUGGGUAAGUAUUUGCUAAUUGUGUGGAAUUUGGCUUUGAGCAUAUAGAAUUACCUUUCUUAUCUUUCCAGAACUGUGUAUAGGUGAGGUGAGCAAACCCGAGGUCAUUCCCACCUCCAAGAAUUUGGAGAUAGGACAAUAAGAUUUCCCUUGGAGAUAGGGUUGCCAGACUUAGCCAAUAGAAAUACAGGAUGCCUAGUUAAUUUAAAUGUCCGAGAAACAGUGAACACUUUUUAGAAUAAGUAUACCCGAUGUCAUACUUGGGACACACAUAAACCGAACAGUCAUUCAUCGUUUCUCUGAAAUUCAAAUGGCGGGGACUCCUGCGCUGUGUCCGGCAACCCUACUUUUGAGAGUUCGACCAUAAAGAAGGAAGGAGAAGAAGGAAGAAAGGGAAAGUCACCCUUGGAAGUCAGAACGGGUCCUUCCGCAAGACUUGAUUCCACUUGGAGAAUAUAGGGAAAGCGUAUGUACAGAAACACUUCAAACCUUCUAUUGUGACAUAUCUUAAGAAUGUGCCCAUCGGGGAGGUGGGGGGUUGGCCAGAGAUGGAAACUGGAGGGUGCUCUGAUCUCAUUGUGGAGAGAGACUCACCAGGCCUUUGAGUGGCCACUGAGGUCACUCCAAAGUCCCCAUGUUUGCCAGGAAAACUUACUAAUCAGGUGUCCCAUCGCCUUCUGGGACUGAGUGUGCUGAUCAGGGACUCGUGUCUAUUCAGCCUCUGCAGGGCGACUGUUAAAUGUCCUUGGGGUUCUUCUGCACCAUUUUCUCUUGUGUCCCCUGGGGACUGACACCCAGUGACAGUAACUUGCGUUUUCCGUCAAUUCCCGCACUCUUUUGCUGGCUGGCUACCACGGCAAACGGCAGAAUCCAUUUCUCCAGGGUCUGAGGACAAGAGCGUAGGAAGCAGCCUUUAUCAAGUGUUUCCUCUAUCUUACGUAAUCCUUGUCACAACUCCAUCCCGGCUUCAGAGACACAGAAAUCGACCUUGAGAGAUGUCGUGACGUCUCCUCCCCAGGCCACACACUCAGUAAGUGGCACAGCUGGGACUCAAAGCCAUGGCUUUUUCCCAUGCUUAUUAACCAUCACAGACAUUUGACAAGCCUCUUUCUUUGCACACACAUACACCCAUGGUUUUAGAGAAAUAGUCUCAAAUUAUAUACAGUGUUUGGAAAUUUUAAAAAAGAAACUUUAAAAAAUUGUUUAAAUUUUUAAUUUAUUUUUUUAAAGAUUUUAUUUAUUCAUUUGAGAGAGAGAGAGAGAGCACAAGCAGGGGGAGAGGCAGAAGGAGAGGGAGAAGCAGGCGCCCCACUGAGCAGGGAGCCCAAUGCCGUAUUCGAUCCAAGGACCCUGAGAUCAUGACUUGAGCCAAAGGUAGAUGCUUAACUGAGCCACUUUAGGUACCCCAAAUCUUUUUUAAAAAAUUCAGCAAGGUUGGGGCGCCUGGGUGGCUCAGUGGGUUAAAGCCUCUGCCUUCAGCUCAGGUCAUGAUCCCAGGGUCCUGGGAUCGAGUCCCGCAUCGGGCUCUCUGCUCAGCAGGGAGCCUGUUUCCUCCUCUCUCUCUCUGCCUGCCUCUCUGCCU
rnacentral:lncRNA from 1 species